rnacentral:rRNA from 1 species
UUUCCUACGGGGGGCAGCAGUGGGGAAUAUUGCACAAUGGGGGGAACCCUGAUGCAGCAAUGCCGCGUGGGUGAAGAAGCACUCCGGUGCGUAAAGCCCUGUCAGCAGGGAAGAAAAUGACAGUACCUGGACAAGAAGCCCCGGCUAACUACGUGCCAGCAGCCGCGGUAAUACGUAGGGGGCAAGCGUUAUCCGGAUUUACUGGGUGUAAAGGGAGCGUAGACGGUUCUGCAAGUCUGAAGUGAAAGCCCGUGGCUUAACCGCGGAACGGCUUUGGAAACUGUGGAACUGGAGUGCUGGGGAGG